AAAUCUUCCCUCUCAAAUAAAAUAAUCCCUUCACUUACACGCGCUGGCCUUCAGUCCUUCACUUCUCCAAUUCAGCCUGCAGAUCGACGCCGCCACUGACGCUCCUCCUCCAUUACAGCCUUCAGAUCGACGCCGCCGCCGACGCUCCUCCUCCAUUGCAGCCUGCAGUCGUCGCCGCCUCUUCUCCUCGCCGAUGACGCCUCUGGCUUCCACCGCCUCUUCUCCUCGCUGACGACGCCUCCGACCUCCACCUUCCACACAACACACCCAUCGCCGCACACCAUCGCCUCCCGUCCACAGCCACCGCCGCCGUCCAUAGCAGCAUCCCCGUCGCCUCACGCCGUCGACACAGCCACUAGCCGCCGUCGCUUCACGUCGUUGCCCCUUCUACCCUCGCCGCCGGCAUUGCCUCGGCCUCCUGCUUCGCCGCCGGAAUCGCGCCUGCUCACCAGUUCACUUCAGGUGCCAACAGCAUUUCUCAGAAGGCAGGUGUUGCUGCUCUGGGGCUUGGAUAUGCUGGUGGAGAAGCUGUUGCAACAAUGGUAAAAGCAUUCCAAGAGAGGCGUGAUUUUCUAGUCAAAAGCUUUGGGGAAAUGGAAGGACUCAAAUUUUCAGAACCUCAGUAAAAUUCAGGUUUAGGCCCCAUAUUCUUAUUGAUGUGAGCAUUGACAUGAGCACCAGAGUGCUGGAAAUAAUAAGUAAACUAGACUUUGUUGGAGGAGAAGAAGAUGGAGAAGAACAAGGAUGGUGCUCAAGAAAAGUUGGAGGUUUACUGGGAUGAUGGAUAUGGGACUCAAACUGUGAAGGAUUAUCUUGAAUUAGCCAAA